UACGUAGGGUGCGAGCGUUGUCCGGAUUUACUGGGUGUAAAGGGCGUGUAGGCGGGUUUGCAAGUCAGAUGUGAAAUCUCCGGGCUUAACUCGGAAGUGUCAUCUGAAACUACGGAUCUUGAGUACUGGAGAGGAUAGUGGAAUUCCUAGUGUAGCGGUAAAAUGCGUAGAUAUUAGGAGGAACACCAGUGGCGAAGGCGGCUUUCUGGACUGAUACUGACGCUGAGGAACGAAAGCGUGGGGAGCAAACAGGAUUAGAUACCCCGGUAGUCCCU
rnacentral:rRNA from 1 species